rnacentral:lncRNA from 1 species
GCGAAUUUACGUGCAUACCUUUCACCGUAGCAUCAGUCCUCAGUUCACUUCUUGGAACGAACAUCAGCAUAGGUCCAAGCCCUCUCGCUUGGAGGGAUAUGCAAACAAACAUCCUGAUAGGGGUAAACUCGCAUGCUACCGAGCAUUCAACCGAGCACAUGCAUGCUUAGUUGAAUGGUGAGAUGCGACCCCCCCUUCAUUUCGUGCUCGGCAAGCCUGCCACCGCGUACCGGGUAUGUUGGCGAUGUUACAGAGACGCUGCACCUUGGUUUCUGUGCGCAAUGCGUACGAUGCUCGACCCCGCCGACCAAAACUACACGUGCCCAACUGAAGACAUUCCCGGUGGUUGUGCAGCAGCUCUUGAGGCUGUUGCUGGCUGAAAUCCAUCCUGAGCUGUUGCAACACGGCUAACGCGGGCACGUCCCUAUGCACAGCAAGUAGCUGUUCCAAGCCAACAGCGGCGUCCAUGUCACCGACAAGGCCCUAAACGUCUUAUCUGUUCUUAUGUUUAAUUAAGUUUUUGUAUGUUAUACUUUGAGCAACUUUGUAAUUUGACUUU